rnacentral:rRNA from 1 species
CCCUUAGAUGUUCUGGGCCGCACGCGCGCUACACUGUUCGACGCAGCGAGUCUUAACCUUGACCGAAAGGUUUGGGUAAUCUUCAGCAAAGUCGAACGUGAUGGGGAUCGAUCAUUGCAAUUAUUGAUCGUGAACGAGGAAUUCCUAGUAAGUGCAGGUCAUCAGCUUGCGCUGAUUACGUCCCUGCCCUUUGUACACACCGCCCGUCGCUACUACCGAUUGAAUGGUUUAGUGAGAUCUCUGGAUUGACGCUGGCUAGGGGGCGACCCUUGGCCAGACUGUUGAGAAACUGCUCAAACUUGAUCAUUUAGAGGAAGUAAAAGUCGUAACA